rnacentral:rRNA from 1 species
UACGUAGGGUGCAAGCGUUUGUCCGGAAUUAUUGGGCGUAAAGAGCUUGUAGGCGGUUUGUCGCGUCUGCUGUGAAAUUUCGGGGCUCAACCCCGAACUUGCAGUGGGUACGGGCAGACUAGAGUGUGGUAGGGGAGACUGGAAUUCCUGGUGUAGCGGUGAAAUGCGCAGAUAUCAGGAGGAACACCGAUGGCGAAGGCAGGUCUCUGGGCCGAUACUGACGCUGAGGAGCGAAAGCGUGGGGGAGCGAACAGG